rnacentral:rRNA from 1 species
GAUGAACGCUGGCGGCGUGCCUAAUACAUGCGAGUCGAGCGAACAGACGAGGAGCUUGCUCCUCUGACGUUAGCGGCGGACGGGUGAGUAACACGUGGAUAACCUACCUAUAAGACUGGGAUAACUUCGGGAAACCGGAGCUAAUACCGGAUAAUAUAUUGAACCGCAUGGUUCAAUAGUGAAAGACGGUUUUGCUGUCACUUAUAGAUGGAUCCGCGCCGCAUUAGCUAGUUGGUAAGGUAACGGCUUACCAAGGCGACGAUGCGUAGCCGACCUGAGAGGGUGAUCGGCCACACUGGAACUGAGACACGGUCCAGACUCCUACGGGAGGCAGCAGUAGGGAAUCUUCCGCAAUGGGCGAAAGCCUGACGGAGCAACGCCGCGUGAGUGAUGAAGGUCUUCGGAUCGUAAAACUCUGUUAUCAGGGAAGAACAAAUGUGUAAGUAACUAUGCACGUCUUGACGGUACCUAAUCAGAAAGCCACGGCUAACUACGUG